rnacentral:snRNA from 1 species
GUGCUUGCUUUGGCAGCACAUGUACUAAAAUUGGAAUGAUACAAAGAUUAGCACGGCCCCUGCACAAGGAUGACAUGCAAAUUCAUGAAGCGUUCCAGGAAAAA